AGUGAACGCUGGCGGUAGGCCUAACACAUGCAAGUCGAACGGCAGCACAGUAAGAGCUUGCUCUUACGGGUGGCGAGUGGCGGACGGGUGAGGAAUACAUCGGAAUCUACUUUUUCGUGGGGGAUAACGUAGGGAAACUUACGCUAAUACCGCAUACGACCUACGGGUGAAAGCAGGGGAUCUUCGGACCUUGCGCGAUUGAAUGAGCCGAUGUCGGAUUAGCUAGUUGGCGGGGUAAAGGCCCACCAAGGCGACGAUCCGUAGCUGGUCUGAGAGGAUGAUCAGCCACACUGGAACUGAGACACGGUCCAGACUCCUACGGGAGGCAGCAGUGGGGAAUAUUGGACAAUGGGCGCAAGCAUGAUCCAGCCAUACCGCGUGGGUGAAGAAGGCCUUCGGGUUGUAAAGCCCUUUUGUUGGGAAAGAAAAGCAGCAGGUUAAUACCCCGCUGUUCUGACGGUACCCAAAGAAUAAGCACGGGCUAACUUCGUG
rnacentral:rRNA from 1 species